GAUGAACGCUAGCGGCAGGCUUAAUACAUGCAAGUCGUGGGGCAGCAUGAGUAGCAAUACUUGAUGGCGACCGGCAAACGGGUGCGGAACACGUACACAACCUUCCGUUAAAUGGGGAAUAGCCCGGAGAAAUUUGGAUUAAUACCACUUAACAUAUAGAGUAGGCAUCUUCUUGAUAUUAUAGUUCCGGCGCUUAUUGAUGGGUGUGCGUGUGAUUAGGUAGUUGGAGGGGUAACGGCCCACCAAGCCUACGAUCAGUAGGUCGUGUGAGAGCAUUAACAGCCACACGGGCACUGAGACACGGGCCCGACUCCUACGGGAGGCAGCAGUAAGGAAUAUUGGACAAUGGGGGAAAGCCUGAUCCAGCCAUGCCGCGUGAAGGAUUAAGGUCCUCUGGAUUGUAAACUUCUUUUAUAUGGGACGAAAAAAGGGAAUUCUUUCCCACUUGACGGUACCAAGUGAAUAAGCACCGGCUAACUCCGUGCCAGCAGCCGCCGUAA
rnacentral:rRNA from 1 species